rnacentral:rRNA from 1 species
UGCCAGCCGCCGCGGUAAUACAGAGGGUGCAAGCGUUAAUCGGGAUUACUGGGCGUAAAGCGUGCGUAGGCGGAUGUUUUAGUCAGAUGUGAAAGCCCCGGGCUCAACCUGGGAAUUGCAUCUGAUACUGGGCAUCUAGAGUAUGGUAGAGGAUAGUGGAAUUUCUGGUGUAGCGGUGAAAUGCGUAGAUAUCAGAAGGAACACCGGUGGCGAAGGCGGCUAACUGGACCAAUACUGACGCUGAGGUACGAAAGCGUGGGUAGCGAACAGGAUUAGAUA